rnacentral:rRNA from 1 species
CAGUCGCCGCGGUAAUACGAGGGGGGCAAGCGUUGUUCGGAAUUAUUGGGCGUAAAGGGUGCGUAGGCGGCCCCGCAAGUCUCAUGUGAAAUCUUCAGGCUCAACUUGAAGUCUGCAUGGGAAACUGCGGGGCUGGAGUAUGGGAGAGGUGAGUGGAACUCCUGGUGUAGCGGUGAAAUGCGUUGAGAUCAGAAAGAACACCAACAGCGAAAGCACUCUACUGGGCUGACGCUGACACUGAGAGACGAACGCUAGGGGAGAAAAUGGGAUUAGAUACCCCAGUAGUCCCUGUCUCUUAUAC